UACGGAGGGUGCUAGCGUUGUUCGGAAUUACUGGGCGUAAAGAGUGCGUAGGCGGUUUAGCAAGUUAGAAGUGAAAUCCCGGGGCUUAACCUCGGAAUUGCUUUUAAAACUGCUAAACUAGAGUGUGGUAGGGGACAGUGGAAUUCCUAGUGUAGGGGUGAAAUCCGUAGAUAUUAGGAGGAACACCAGAGGCGAAGGCGACUGUCUGGGCCAUUACUGACGCUAAGGCACGAAAGCGUGGGGAGCAAACAGG
rnacentral:misc_RNA from 1 species